AGAUGAGCAAGAAGGGGUGCUGAAGAGAGGCAAAGAGUUUGAAGAACAGAGGGCCCAAGAGGAGGGAGGACAGAGGGAUAGAAGUGGCAGCACCUACUGCCCUCGAGGUUCUGGUCGUGGAGGAAAAGCCACCAGGAACCUCUGCCACUGAGUGAAAAAGCAGGUUGUGGCCCUUGGGGCAAAAAUUAAAAGCCAGUAGCAGAAGGAAAAGGGAAGUGCUCUCCUGAAAGCCUGACUCCAGGGGCCUGGUGUGCUUACUUUUGGGGGGAAAAAAGAAAGGUGCCCAGAGAGAUGGAGAGCUAGGGGGUUGUGGGCUAAAUAAAGGGAGAUGGAGAUAAAAAGUGAGAGAGCCAGGGAAAAACUAAAAUGAGAUAUGAGGGCUUCAGCUAAUCAAUUCACCUCAUAAAGCCUCGGUUCUUUGGUUUUAGAAAUGAAACCAGGUGUGGUGCCUGCCUCUAAUCCCAGCACUCUUUGUGGCUGAGGCAGGAGGACCUCAGGUCGGAGUCCAGCCUGAGCAAUUUAAGUAUUCAGCCAGAUCUUGGCUCAAAGUAAAAAGGGCUGGGGAUGUAGCUCAGCCCAAAGGUCCUGAGUUCAAUCCCCAGUACCAAAAAGGUAGCAGGGUGUUGGUGGUGUCCAACGAUCCCACUUGGGGGCUAAAGCAGAGCCUGAGCCAGCCUGGGCUACAGAGUUCAAGGGUAGCCUAUAUAAGACUGGCCUAUGUAAGAAGACUCUAUCUCAAAAGAAGCAAAUAAAAAAAAAAACAAAGGAAUAAUCCUCACAUCCUGGUUUUGAUCCCCAGCAUUGCUACAACACCUGCAAGAAAAACAAAGGAAUAAUGUUUUUGGUACCUUCGAUGGGGAUGUGUUGGAAAAUUAAAUGAGAUUAAGCAGGUUAAGUGCUUACCACAUAACAGAGGCCCAGAAAAAAAAGGAGAAGAGCACAUUGGGGGAACACUACGUCCUUGAAGAAGGUGCUGUGGAUGGAGUCCCCUGGGCUCAGGCAUGACAGGCAAGGACUGUACCACUGAGCUACAGCUACAGCCCAGCGUAAACCCCAAGAAUAGUUCUCUCAGAGCAACUCAUGUGGCCAGCAAUUCUUUAUUUGAAGAUAAGCUCUAAAUGUUAUAGGAAAAAAAUCAAUAAAAUACAGAAAAAUAUUUUUAACAAUAGUGCC
rnacentral:lncRNA from 1 species